rnacentral:rRNA from 1 species
UAGGGAAUCUUCGGCAAUGGACGAAAGUCUGACCGAGCAACGCCGCGUGAGUGAAGAAGGUUUUCGGAUCGUAAAACUCUGUUGUUAGAGAAGAACAAGGACGUUAGUAACUGAACGUCCCCUGACGGUAUCUAACCAGAAAGCCACGGCUAACUACGUGCCAGCAGCCGCGGUAAUACGUAGGUGGCAAGCGUUGUCCGGAUUUAUUGGGCGUAAAGCGAGCGCAGGCGGUUUCUUAAGUCUGAUGUGAAAGCCCCCGGCUCAACCGGGGAGGGUCAUUUGAAACUGUGAGACUUGAGUGCAGAAGAGGAGAGUGGAAUUCCAUGUGUAGCGGUGAAAUGCGUAGAUAUAUGGAGGAACACCAGUGGCGAAGGCGGCUCUCUGGUCUGUAACUGACGCUGAGGCUCGAAAGCGUGGGGAGCAAACAGG